rnacentral:lncRNA from 1 species
CUGGGACCUGAAGAAGCAAUUGCGUGUAACUCUGGAGAGGCCUCUUGAGGAUGCUCACCUGUGCCUUAGCAGAAAUGAGGUUUCAUCGGAGGCCUGGUUGUCACAGCAGACAGCCUCACACAGUGAAGAGAGCGGGAGCCUGAGAAUCAGCCAGACCUGAGGUUAAGUCCUGGCUUGCCCGCUUUCAAGAUGUUUGCUCUGCCACAGACAUUGGCUUCUCAAAUAAAUCCUGUCCAUUUGGUCACCCUUUUCUCCAUCCACCUAUGGCACAGGCUUUGGAGACUCUGCUGUUUAUCUUUUUGUUAAAGUCAGAGACUGCUGCCUUGAUUAUACACAUCACAAUUUUUUCCUUAAG